AUUUUCUGUAGUUUUUAGAUCUUCAAAAAUGAAAGCAGGAGAGCUGGAGCACAAACAAGUAGGAGCUCUAUACAUAAUUCUGAGCUAUGCAAUGACCAGUAAUGCCAGAGGAUCUCAGUCAGUAUGGGACUGACUAAGAAGAAAGAAACAGAGCUACUACUCCUAUAUAACUUAAAGGUUAUGAGGGAUUCACACCAAAAAAUUGAUGAUGAAGGCAUAGUUUUUACUGGCCAAAAAUGAUGGGAUCUGAUAAGUAAUGGACAAUAUGAUGGACAUAAAAAGCAGUUACAGCAUCAGCUUCUUUCAUGUGAUGUUCCAAACAAACCAACACAUCUUAACUACACCAUUGCCCUGGGACACUGAGAAAAUCAAGUGCUACGGGACUAAGUGUUUUCCAAUUUAUAUCAAGUAUGACAGUGUGUUAAUACAAAAAUGUUGAGGGUGAAAAUGAAAUUUUGAAUCCAGAUGUGCUCCUUCGUCAUUCUGCUAGCAUAAGAGAAAGGAUGUGGUCUACCACAUGUGGCUCAAACACUUCCUCAUCUAGACAAGGUAGGAACCAAAAUGGAUGUUCUGGGUAACUAAUCUGUUCCUCUGUUGCUAGCAAUAUAAAUCCUUACACAAAGAGAGAAAGAAUUUUGAUGAGUGACAUGGCAGGGGGAAAGUUCAGUCUUCCUGAUCUUUAUGUGUCUCUCUUUUUUAGCUUCUGAAAUUUCAUAUGAGGAUAAUAUAUAUCAUUUAAAAAGUGGAUUUGUGGCUUCUUUCUGGAGUACUAUCCCAACAAAUGAACAGGAAGGACCGAUGUGAUGCGGCUGACUUGUUGCUAUCUGUUUGUGAUAAUCUUUCCCACUUUCUACAGUUCCAGAAACAGCUAAAACCCAGUGCUUUAACUCAGGAGAAACCUAGAAGGUUCUACGUUAAAACAUCAAAAGGAAGAUUUUGACUGAUGUUUCUCUGUGUGCUGAUUUCUCUGUCACCUGAUCUUCACUUGUGCUAACUCAUUUGCUAUGGAGGACUUACCUCUGGAUGUCUGUGAAGACUUUAUACUGGUCCAUUCCACACCUGAACAUUUCCAUUGAGGAUGUAAUGAAACUAUAUACACUAGAAACUAUAUACACUAUAUAUUUUCAAAAUCUGUUUAUGUUGUGCUGUAUCAGGCCAUGACACUCUCCCUGAUUUGCAGUGAUUUCUGUCACUGUGUGUUAUGGACACAAAUAUGAUGUGAUAUGCAAACAAAAUGCUAUGCUGUUUCCUGACUCUUCCAGCAGCAUACAGGUCACUGCAAUACACAAGUCUAAUGAGGUUAUCUCUUAAAAACAAGUUAUUGGAGAGCAAUUUUGGUAGAACUUAAUGGUAGAUUAAGGUAUCUUGCGUAUCCUAAGAAUGAACUAGUACCUGCAAUAUUUACCUGUCAAGGUUGUUGCAAAGAACAUUGCUGCAGCUCUGUAAGCACAGAGGGAGAACUUCUGCAGCAAACUGUAUAGACAAGAUAAUUACAGGCAUUUCUGUACAUAUACUAAAAUGUUUACCUAAGCACCGGACCUCAGUAGAUAGAAUUUGAAAUUAGGAAAAUAAAAUUAAAUUAUGUUAAGUUACUAUACA
rnacentral:lncRNA from 1 species